rnacentral:rRNA from 1 species
GACAGAGGGUGCAAACGUUGUUCGGAUUUACUGGGCGUAAAGCGCGUGUAGGCGGCUUUGCAAGUCGGAUGUGAAAUCCCACGGCUCAACCGUGGAAGUGCAUCCGAAGCUGCAUCGCUCGAGUCUCGGAGAGGAAGGUGGAAUGCUUGGUGUAGAGGUGAAAUUCGUAGAUAUCAAGCAGAACACCUGCGGCGAAGGCGGCCUUCUGGACGAUGACUGACGCUGAGACGCGAAAGCGUGGGGAGCAAACAGG